rnacentral:rRNA from 1 species
CAGCAGCCGCGGUAAUACGUAGGGUGCGAGCGUUAAUCGGAAUUACUGGGCGUAAAGCGUGCGCAGGCGGUUCGUUAAGACAGAUGUGAAAUCCCCGGGCUUAACCUGGGAACUGCAUUUGUGACUGGCGAGCUAGAGUAUGGCAGAGGGGGGUAGAAUUUCACGUGUAGCAGUGAAAUGCGUAGAGAUGUGGAGGAAUACCGAUGGCGAAGGCAGCCCCCUGGGCCAAUACUGACGCUCAUGCACGAAAGCGUGGGGAGCAAACAGGAUUAGAUACCCGUGUAGUCCCUGUCUCUUAUAC